rnacentral:lncRNA from 1 species
UAUGUACUCAUGUAUGUUUGAAUGUGGAGGCUUCGUGCUUGUUUUACUAAGCAUGUAGCAGAACUAGGGAGAGGAAGGAAAGGAAACGACACCGGUUCGUAAGUUUGGUGGAGAAGCAAGAUAAUUCAGUGCUUAAAGAUCCCUUAUGAGAAACCCGGUGGGUGACCUGUGUUCAAUCCCCAGGACCCACACUAUCUAGGAAGAGAACCAACUCUUUAAACUGUCCUUUGACCAGCGUAUAAGUACCACAGUAUGCUCGGAGUAACACUCAUAUAUCCCCAUAUUCUACAGACUCCUUUUGUAAGGACAAAUCACCAACCCAUCAUCACCUCUACCACCCACAGUUCCCUGACCUUGGAAAAAAAAAAACAUAUUUAACAUCAACCGCUAAGAGGACAAAAGUAGGCAGCAUCAGAAAAAUCUUUAAAAUUUCAACUUCAUUUUUGGGGGGAAUCAAAAACAAAUCUUGCUA